AUGGCAUUUCUCACUGGAUCACCUGUCUUGUUUGCAGGAAUGCAGGGAUUGGGGACCUGGGAUGGCUGUGUUCCUGUACCCUGUGUUGUUCCCUCUUGCCCUGGGACCCUGCCCACUGCCCACUGGGCUCUGCUUGCUUCCCGUAACUCUUCCGAUAGCCUGGACAUAGCUGCCACAGCCUUAGAGCAGCAUCAGCAACUGGGUUGGAGCGCCGCCUGGUGCAGAAGGAGCAGACACUGGGCAAGAAGGUGGCCACUGGGCAAGAAGGUGGCCACGCUGUGGGCCCUGGAGCUGCGGGCAGCAGAGUUGCUUGAGCACAUGCCGCUAUGGGCAAAUGUGUAUGCCACCUGCUGAUUGCAGUGUAUGGAUGCCGGUAAGACAGACUCUGGGACUACCUGAGUCGCUCAAAGUGACUCAAAGUGAUUGACCCAAGAAUCUCCUGACCUUGAGAGACCAAGGACCCCACUGAGUACCCACUGACGCUGAGUAACCCCCCAUGGGACCCCAUGAUAUCCUCCAAUGAUCCUCUGUCCUUGAGAAACCAGGUAUGUAAAACUCAACAGAGGCCAUCUAGUGCCUUUGACCCUGAUAGAUCCUUUUCUGAGUGAUCUAAAAUUCUGAGUCACCUCUAGUAUCCCUGAGCCCCUCAGGUUGACUACAGGAGCCCCGGGUAACUGGAGACCCCUACUCCAGAUAACUGGAAUAACUCCCAGAGACCCUGAAGGUCCAGUAGAUUGACUGCUCCCCUGCUCAGACUCUUCUUGAGAAGUCUGGUGAUUCCCAGACCCCGGGAAGAACCCCCAGCUUUCUCCCGCGGUCCCACAGCUCUGGGUACUCUCCACCUGGCCCCAGACAGAGUGGGCACAGCUGUGGCAGCUCAGAGCCACCAGGCCCUGGCCCUACAGACCUGCGGAGUCCCGUGGUCCCGCCUGUGGUCCCAGGGGCCAGGGUGGGGCACUUGCUAGCAGCUCGCAUUCCAAGCCUGGGCUCAGGCCUCCCGGCGGGCCAGAAGGUCUGGAGCGGAUGGAUGGCCAUAAGAUCUGGAUUCACUCACUGCCUCUGUCGACUGCCCAGCUCCCAUUUUCAUACUGGAAAACUGAGAAAGCACUUCUUGUGCCUACUUGUUGUAGUGACUAAGGGAGGUGGAGAGCCCUGGAGCCGUGACUUGGGCAGAGGAUGACCUUUCUCCACCUUUCCUCCUACCCCCUUCUUGUCCUGUCGCUUGGGCCAGGCCAACCUAAAGUCUCCCACCUCCCUAAAUAGAGGAGCUCGAUGUCUCUUUGUGUGCCCUCUCACCUCCCCGCUGACGCUGGAGCCCUGGGACUGAACAGCCUCACUGAUGGUGACUUCCACAGCGCCUACAAUGCUAGGGACAAAGGCUGUGUUCCGUGGGCCAUUUGAAGUCUCAAAUCAGACUCCUUUCCUUUGCUCAUGCCACACCCCCUCCUUGGUGCGCACCCUAACUGUGGUGGCUUAAAGACAACCCCCCUUCCCCUUGCUCUGCAGGGGUCUGGGCAAGGGAGCUCAGUAAAGAUUUGCAGGUGAGCUGGCCUGUGUCUGGUUUCUAGAAUGAGGGUGGUUUCUGGAGAGGUGGGAGGGGAACCUCUGUGUGGAAAUGUACUCCUGCCCAAAAUCCGCUCCAUGCUUUCCUUCUUGCCGUGCUUCUCAACUUUGCUCAAAGUCGCAGGACUCAGCUAGUGGAGGGGCCGCCGGCUGGAGGAUUGAGUGGGAGAUCAGCCGCGGACUUACGCGGGCAGGGUCUGCACGGGACCCCAAGGGAGGGUGAAGGUGGGCACAGGCUCUGGACCUCUUAUCACCCCUCAUC
rnacentral:lncRNA from 1 species